AUGGCAUUCAUUGACCUUGCAAAGGCAUUUGACACAGUGAACUGCAGCGCUCUCUGGACCAUCCUCCAAAAAAUCGGGUGCCCUGACAAAUUUGUGAAUAUCCUUCGGCUCCUCCAUGAUGACAUGAUGGCAACAGUCUUGGACAGCAAUGGGUUACAAAGUGACCCAUUUAAGGUGGAAUCAGGUGUCAAGCAGGGAUGUGUUAUUGCCCCUACCUUAUUUUCCAUCUUCAUCGCUAUGAUACUUCACCUUGUUGAUGGGAAGCUUCCCACCGGAGUGGAAAUAAUCUAUCGGACAGAUGGCAAGCUAUUUAACCUCAGCAGACUGAAAGCCAAAACAAAGGUCACCACAACAUCUAUUAUAGAACUCCUAUAUGCUGACGACAACGUAGUCUGUGCGCAUUCAGAAGAAGACCUACAAACCACUCUAAACACCUUUGCAGAAGCAUACGAGAAGCUCGGCCUCUCACUGAACAUUGAGAAAACCAAAGUGCUCUUCCAACAGGCACUAGCUAAUCCCUCUGCAAUGCCAGGAAUACAGCUUAAUGGUGUAACACUAGAAAAUGUUGACCAUUUCUGCUACCUUGGCAGCCACCUCUCCACAAAAGUCAACAUCGACACUGAAAUACAACACUGCCUGAGCUCUGCGAGUGCAGCAUUUUUCAGAAUGAAGCAGAGAGUGUUUGAUGAUCGGGACAUCCUUAGAGAUACCAAGGUGCUUGUUUAUAAAGCCAUUGUCCUCCCAACCCUGCUCUACGCCUGCAAAACAUGGAUGGUCUACAGACAUCACACUCAACUCCUGGAAUGUUUCCAUCAGUGCUGCCUCAGAAAAAUCCUGCAAAUCUCUUGGGAAGACAGGUGGACAAAUGUCAUUGUGCUGGAAGAAGCAAAGACCACCAGCAUUGAAGUGAUGCUCCUACGCCAUCAACUCCGCUGGACUGGCCACGUUGUCCGAAUGCCUGAUCACCGUCUCUCAAAUCAGCUGCUCUAUUCCGAACUCAAGAACGGGAAACGUAAUGUUGGUGGGCAGGAAAAGAGAUUUAAAGAUGGGCUUAAAGCCAACCUUAAAAACUGUGUCAUAGACACUGAGAACUGGGAAGCCCUGGACUUUGAGCGCUCUAAUUGGAGGUCAGCUGUGACCAGCAGUGCUGCGGAGUUCGAAGAGGCACGAAUGGAGGGCUUAAGGGAGAAACGUGCCAAGAGGAAGGCCCAUCAAACUAACCCUGACCGAGACCGCCUUCCACCUGGAAACCGAUGUCCUCACUGCGGGAGAACAUGCAGAUCAAGAAUAGGUCUCUUCAGCCAUCUAUGGACCCACCCCCAAGACCCCACAGAUGGAGGACCAUCAUCCUCAAACUUCAAGGGAUCGCCUAAGUAA
rnacentral:lncRNA from 1 species